rnacentral:rRNA from 1 species
AUGAAGCGGACCAGGGCGCAGAACCCCAAGGCCCAGGACCCGGAGCCGCAGGACCCCGCGGCCGCCGGGAGCAACCCCACCCCGAAGCCGCAGCGCCGCGCGAAGCAGCCCCGGCAGCCCAAGGCGGCGACGGCGGGUGGCAAGAAGACCGCCGCGGCUCGCGAGGCCGCUGCGGUGACCGCGACGGCAGCCGCUGCUGCCUCCGUCGCCGCAGCGUCCCCCGCAGCGGAGACGGCGCCGGUCGUCCCCGACGUCUGCGUCGGCGCGGGAGGAGGAGGGGAUGUGGCGUGCGGCCUGCCGGCGGAGUGGGACGAGAUGGACGGGUCGCCGUGGUGGACGUUCGGGGUGGAGGAGGAGAAGCUGCUGGGGUGGUUCCCGUUCGUGGAGGAGGACUUCCUGUCCGUCGGCAGCGGCGUCGGCCCCGCCGCCGCCGAGCCCUUCGACGACGACAUCUGGCGGAUCCACCAGAUCUACGAGAUCCCCAGCUACGCCGCCAAGUGA